AGUAAUCAAACGAGAUUUUCUUAGUAGCGGCGAGCGAACGGGAAAGAGGCCAAACCGGAGCGGGCAACCGCACCGGGGUUGAGGACAGUCAUCAAGUGUAAAUGAGGUAGAAGAAUCGAGUUGGAAAGCUCAGCCGCAGAAGGUGAAAGCCCUGUAAUCGAAACCUUGCAUACAUGGGACUGUAUCCAGAGUACCACGAGACACGUGAAACCUUGUGGGAAGCAGGGGGGACCACCCUCCAAGCCAAAAUACUGAUAUCGACCGAUAGCGCAUAGUACCGUGAGGGAAAGGUGAAAAGAACCCCUGGCGGGGAGUGAAAGAGAACCUGAAACCGUAUGUCUACAAACAGUCGAAGUCUGUAUAUAUAUCAGGACGACGGCGUGCCUAUUGAAGAAUGAACCGACGAGUUACUGUUGCUAGCGAGGUUAAGUGGAAAACAUGGAGCCGCAGCGAAAGCGAGUCUGAACAGGGCGUUCAGUUAGUAAUAGUAGACCCGAAACCGUAGUGAUCUAUCCAUGGCCAGGUUGAAGCACAGGUAAAAUUGUGUGGAGGACCGAACUCGUGAGCGUUGAAAAGCUUUGGGAUGAGUUGUGGAUAGGGGUGAAAUGCCAAUCGAACACGGAGAUAGCUGGUUCUCCCCGAAAUAGCUUUAGGGCUAGCCUCGAGGUUGAGAGUAUAGGCGGUAGAGCACUGAUCGGGCUAGGGGCCAUACCGGUUACCGAACCUAGUCAAACUACGAAUGGCUAUACUUAUACUCGGGAGUCAGACAGUGAAUGAUAAGGUCCAUUGUCAAGAGGGAAACAGCCCAGAACACCGACUAAGGUCCCCAAUGUCAUACUAAGUGGCGAAGGAUGUGGAAUUUCCAAAACAACCAGGAUGUUGGCUUAGAAGCAGCCACCAUUUAAAGAGUGCGUAAUAGCUCACUGGUCGAGAGACUCUGCGCCGAAAAUGUCCGGGGCUAAAGUAUGAAACCGAAGUCGUGUCAUAUGCAGCAAUGUAUAUGGGUAGGGGAGCGUUCUCAUCGGAUUGAAGCAGUACCGUAAGGAGUUGUGGACUGGUGAGAAGUGAGAAUGUCGGUAUGAGUAGCGAAAAGAAUGGUGAGAAUCCAUUCCACCGAAAGCCUAAGGGUUCCUGAGCAACGAUCGUCGUCUCAGGGUAAGUCGGGACCUAAGCCGAGGCGGAAAAGCGUAGGCGAUGGACAACAGGUUGAAAUUCCUGUACCGGUGUGAAUCGUUUGAUCGAAGGAGUGACACAGUAAGGUAGGUCAGCACGCGAUUGGAAGUGCGUGUUUAAGCAUGUAGGUUGAGUUAUAGGCAAAUCCGUAACUCUAAAAGCUGAGAUGUGAUGACGAGCUGUUUACAGCGAAGUGAUUGAUCCUACACUGUCGAGAAAAGCUUCUAGGUAGAGACACAUCGCCCGUACCAAAACCGACACAGGUAGGCGGGGAGAGAAUCCUAAGGUGCGCGGGAAAACCCUCGUUAAGGAACUCGGCAAAAUGCCUCCGUAACUUCGGGAAAAGGAGGACUCAUGUAGUGUGAAGGGCAGUAACGCGUGGAGCAUGAAUGAGUGGCACAAGAGAGGCGCAAGCGACUGUUUACCACAAACACAGGUGCCUGCUAAAGCGAAAGCUGAUGUAUAGGUGCUGACACCUGCCCGGUGCUGGAAGGUUAAGAGGAGGGGUUAGACUUCGGUCGAAGCUCUGAAUUGAAGCCCCAGUAAACGGCGGCCGUAACUAUAACGGUCCUAAGGUAGCGAAAUUCCUUGUCGGGUAAGUUCC
rnacentral:rRNA from 1 species